rnacentral:lncRNA from 1 species
GGCAUUGGCGGCAGUUUCACUGCUUGAGUGACUCGUGAUUUUGUGCCCAGCCAGACUGCGGCAGGUGAAGAUUCUGAAUUUCUUCUGAAGACCCGUGGGAGGUCCCCUGAACGUUGUCAGCAAGGGGACAGUGACCAAAUGAGCACUUUUUAAAAGUUUGUUCGGGCAGCUCUUUGGAACACUGAUUGGCGGCAGGCAAGAGCAGAAUGGGGAGAUUAGUUGCAUCUAAAAGGCGAGGGCUGAGAAGGUCUAUGUGAAGCAGAGAGUCCAGGGAGGGAGUGACUGCAGGUGGAGUGGCAGCAGGGACUCUUGGCACCCCACCUGUGCCCAGCUGCCACAGAGCCCAGCCCUGUUGAGCUGGAGGAGGAUGCAGCACAGCGUGUCCUGGAGGAGGGACGGGGUUCCAGACUUGGUUUGGGACAUAUUGUACUUACAUUUUUAAAAUUCACAUAUAGUAAAGUUCAGGAAUCUUGGCAAAUGCCUAGAUUCUCAUAACCAUCACGACAAUGGGGACACAUCAUAAUUUCAUCUCGCCCCAAAUUCCUCUGUAGUCGCAUCUUCCCCUUAUUCCUAAAACUGUCAAUCACUGCGGCAGUCUCAGCCUCUAUAUUUUCACCUUUUCAGGAAUGUUCUAUAAGUGAAAACAUAUGGCAUAUAAUCUUCGGGAUCUUGCUUCUUUCACUUAGCAGAGUGCAUCUGAGAGCCAUCUGUGCUGUGGGC